AUAGAGAAGAAUGUGCAUGUACAAGAAAAAGGAAAGAGUGUUUAAAGAGCUUGGUCAUUACUUUGUUUUGCAGGGAGACCCAGGCCCACAAGGACUCCAAGGAGAGAAGGGUGAUGCUGGCCUAGAUGGUGCAGCAGGUCGAAGAGGUCCUCCAGGUAUAAAGGGUGAGCAAGGAGAUCUGGGAGAAACAGGUUACUCAGGAG
rnacentral:lncRNA from 1 species